GUUUGUACGCCCACAGUAGAGAAUAAAUAUGGUAAAAAUUUUCUAAGCCUGACUAAAAAUAUAUCAAUUAAUAUAACUUUUUUUUGACGAGAACUAAGUAUACUAUGAAAUUAUAUUUCAUACUCGAAGUAAUGUUGCUUAUUACAGAUGUUUAAAUAUUAAUUUUUCCCCUGUAAAUUUCGCCAAACUCUAAAAGAUUCGACUUCUUAUGAAACGAGAUGGGGCCUUGUUUACUUCCAAAAUUUUCAAGAAUCCCUGUCACAC
rnacentral:lncRNA from 1 species